UACGGAGGGGGCUAACGUUGUUCGGAAUUACUGGGCGUAAAGCGCGCGUAGGCGGACCUGCAAGUCGGGGGUGAAAGCCCGAGGCUCAACCUCGGAACUGCCUUCGAUACUGCGGGUCUCGAGUCCGGGAGAGGUGAGUGGAAUUCCUAGUGUAGAGGUGAAAUUCGUAGAUAUUAGGAAGAACACCAGUGGCGAAGGCGGCUCACUGGCCCGGUACUGACGCUGAGGCGCGAAAGCGUGGGGAGCAAACAGG
rnacentral:rRNA from 1 species